UACGAAGGAUCCUAGCGUUGUCCGGAUUUACUGGGUUUAAAGGGUGCGUAGGCGGAUCUUUAAGUCAGUGGUGAAAGCUUGCAGCUUAACUGUAAAAUUGCCAUUGAAACUGAAGAUCUCGAGUGCGGUUGAGGUCACUGGAAUGUAUCAUGUAGCGGUGAAAUGCUUAGAUAUGAUACAGAACACCGAUUGCGAAGGCAGGUGACUAAACCGUAACUGACGCUGAGGCACGAAAGCGUGGGGAUCAAACAGG
rnacentral:rRNA from 1 species